rnacentral:rRNA from 1 species
CUGCUGCCUCCCGUAGGAGUCUGGGCCGUGUCUCAGUCCCAGUGUGGGGGGCCUUCCUCUCAGGACCCCUACGCAUCGUCGCCACGGUGGGCCGUCACCCCGCCGUCUAGCUAAUGCGCCGCAUGCCCAUCUGCCACCGGAUCGCUCCUUUGGCCAUCGGAGGAUGCCCUCCGGUGGCGUCACGGGGUAUUAGGCCGCGUUUCCGCGGGUUAUCCCCCUGUGGCGGCCAGGUUGCAUACGUGUUACUCACCCGUGCGCCGG